rnacentral:rRNA from 1 species
UACAGAGGUCCCGAGCGUUAGGCGGAAUCACUGGGCUUAAAGCGUGUGUAGGUGGAUCGUUAAGUACCUUGUGAAAUCCCACGGCUUAACCGUGGAACUGCUUGGUAUACUGGCGGUCUUGAGCCAGCUAGGGGCUACCGGAACAAAUGGUGGAGCGGUGAAAUGCGUAGAUAUCGAGAGGAACACCGGUGGCGAAGGCGGCCUUCUGGACAGUGACUGACGCUGAGACGCGAAAGCGUGGGGAGCAAACAGG